rnacentral:rRNA from 1 species
AGCUACAGGCUUAACACAUGCAAGUCGAGGGGCAGCAUGGUCUUAGCUUGCUAAGGCCGAUGGCGACCGGCGCACGGGUGAGUAACACGUAUCCAACCUGCCGUCUACUCUUGGACAGCCUUCUGAAAGGAAGAUUAAUACAAGAUGGCAUCAUGAGUCCGCAUGUUCACAUGAUUAAAGGUAUUCCGGUAGACGAUGGGGAUGCGUUCCAUUAGAUAGUAGGCGGGGUAACGGCCCACCUAGUCUUCGAUGGAUAGGGGUUCUGAGAGGAAGGUCCCCCACAUUGGAACUGAGACACGGUCCAAACUCCUACGGGAGGCAGCAGUGAGGAAUAUUGGUCAAUGGGCGAGAGCCUGAACCAGCCAAGUAGCGUGAAGGAUGACUGCCCUAUGGGUUGUAAACUUCUUUUAUAAAGGAAUAAAGUCGGGUAUGGAUACCCGUUUGCAUGUACUUUAUGAAUAAGGAUCGGCUAACUCCGUGCCAGCAGCCGCGGUAAUACGGAGGAUCCGAGCGUUAUCCGGGUUUAUUGGGUUUAAAGGGAGCGUAGAUGGAUGUUUAAGUCAGUUGUGAAAGUUUGCGGCUCAACCGUAAAAUUGCAGUUGAUACUGGAUAUCUUGAGUGCAGUUGAGGCAGGCGGAAUUCGUGGUGUAGCGGUGAAAUGCUUAGAUAUCACGAAGAACUCCGAUUGCGAAGGCAGCCUGCUAAGCUGCAACUGACAUUGAGGCUCGAAAGUGUGGGUAUCAAACAGGAUUAGAUACCCUGGUAGUCCACACGGUAAACGAUGAAUACUCGCUGUUUGCGAUAUACUGCAAGCGGCCAAGCGAAAGCGUUAAGUAUUCCACCUGGGGAGUACGCCGGCAACGGUGAAACUCAAAGGAAUUGACGGGGGCCCGCACAAGCGGAGGAACAUGUGGUUUAAUUCGAUGAUACGCGAGGAACCUUACCCGGGCUUAAAUUGCAGAUGAAUUACGGUGAAAGCCGUAAGCCGCAAGGCAUCUGUGAAGGUGCUGCAUGGUUGUCGUCAGCUCGUGCCGUGAGGUGUCGGCUUAAGUGUCAUAACGAGCGCAACCCUUGUUGUCAGUUACUAACAGGUUCCGCUGAGGACUCUGACAAGACUGCCAUCGUAAGAUGUGAGGAAGGUGGGGAUGACGUCAAAUCAGCACGGCCCUUACGUCCGGGGCUACACACGUGUUACAAUGGGGGGUACAGAGGGCCGCUACCACGCGAGUGGAUGCCAAUCCCCAAAACCUCUCUCAGUUCGGACUGGAGUCUGCAACCCGACUCCACGAAGCUGGAUUCGCUAGUAAUCGCGCAUCAGCCACGGCGCGGUGAAUACGUUCCCGGGCCUUGUACACACCGCCCGUCAAGCCAUGGGAGCCGGGGGUACCUGAAGUGCGUAACCGCGAGGAGCGCCCUAGGGUAAAACUGGUGACUGGGGCUAAGUCGU